ACCUCGCGACGCCUCGACGCCGCCGCCGCGCGCCCGCGUCCCGCAUUCCGACAAGUGCCUCACGCUGCCGGCAAACUCUCGUGUGCGCCGCCACCAUGUUGGCCUUCCUCUUCCAGCUGUCCAUGCUGUUCGCCGUGUUCGUCAUGAUGCUCUACCUCGUGCUGCGGCUCGGCUGUCGCUACGUCGUCGGCAUGUGCAGCUAGAGGCCUCGGCCUCCGGCACCUCAAGUGCCUCGUGACAGUGUUGUCGUCCCCCGGGACUUGUGACUGGCGUGUCCUCUGCCGGGACUUGUGACUUGCGUGUCCUCUGCCGGGACUUGUGACUUGCGUGUCCUCUGCCGGGACUUGUGACUUGCGUGUCCUCUGCCGGGACUUGUUUUCGCUGUUGCCCGUCUGCUUGCGUACCCACAGACUGGCGGUGCCGAUAUUUCUGCCAUGACUUCAUCACGCCGGUGACACGCGCGGUGCACGCGUGGCGAUGGGUUGACGAGCACCAUGUCGCUGAGGGCGCCGUCACCUGCCGCCCCCCGGGGGGCCGUGGGCCUGGGCCUGG